rnacentral:lncRNA from 1 species
CCUCCCCCGCCCACCGCCUCAGCAACCAACCUCCAGGGAGGGGAAAGGGGGCAGAAGUUUGAGUUAAUAACUAAUAGCUAAAGAUGUAAACAAUAAGCCUCCAUAAAACCCCAAAAGGACUGGACUGGUUUCUGAGAGCUUCCAGGUUGUUGAGCACGUGGAGGUUCUGGGAGGGUCCACACCCAGAGAAGGCAUGGAAGCUGACCCCUUCCCCAUACCUUGCUCUUUGCAUCUCUUCCAUUUGGCUGUUCCCGAGUUGUAUACUUUGUAAUAAGUGGGAUUUCCACCCAACAACAAUUCAGCCACACUGCUUCACACAUCUAGAAUCCAUCCAAAAUUGUAAAGGCUUUGUGGCACUACAGUGAAACAGGCAAGAACAUCUUCCAAACAUCCAGCACAAGAGCACACAGGAGGCCGGCAUAAUCACGAAUUGCAGCUGUCUGAAGGGCAGUCACAUAAAAGAGGAGAAGCUUCACCUUUGCUUCACAAGGCACAUCUUGAACCAGGGAUGGAAAUUACAGAGAGGCCAAAACCAGCUCGGUGUGAGCAGGACUGGUAACAGACUGGCCAAGCAACAGAAGGGGCUGCCCUGUGAAGAAGCAAGCUCUCUGUCAAUGGGAGGUGCAAGCUGAGCCUGCACUACCUUUUGUCACGGUUGCUAUGGAAAAGAUUAAGAGCCCGGAUAGCCCUUCCUCCUCUGGGGGCCUGGGCAUCAGCAAGUCGGAUGGCAGUGGAAGGUGGAGAAAUGGAAUCCUGCUGGGGGCUCAGGAGGCCUGCCCCCUGAUGCUGCCGUGCACUGCAGAUGUCCUUGAUGAAGAGAAUGAAUGGAAGUGCCAGAAAGCCUUUAACAUAUUGGGUCCGGUCUAGAUUUGUAAGGAAGUAUGGCUGAAUUGUUAUCGGGUGGAUACAGUUUACAUGUUUAAAGCUGUCUUUCUCAAUGGCAAAAGGGCAUACUGCUGUUAUUGUCAGUGAGGGGUCAGUAGUUUAAAUGAUGAAACUCUGGGGAUCAGCGUAAAGUAAACCAACAUACUGCAUGUAAGUAUCAAGUAAAUGAGCAGAGACAGCCCCUGGUUUACAAACACCUGACUUAAGCAUCGUCCAUCCUACAGGACAGGGAAGGAGGAAGAAGCUUCGAGAGGCUGGAACAGUUGAGGGAGCGCUGACACGGUAAAGGCCACUUUGCUCAUCAUCACCAGGCGUGCUGCCGAAAAUUUCCACUCUGUUUACUCCCAAGACCUUACUCCUACUAUGUGGAGACACAUUUGAAUAAAAAAUUGGCCUCUUUUCAAAGUCAAAAUUCUG